GCGCGGGUCUCCAGAACCUGAGCUAGUCAGAAGCAACAGUCGCUACUGGGUCCCCCGGCCACUGGGAGAAUGGUUUUCCUUGGGCAGGUGGUUCCAGACCCCCACCAGUCCUCUAGACUCCAGGCCAAUCAGUUGCUAAGGGACGUUCCUCUCUCAACCUACACUUAUCAACAUUUUAAGCUAUAAAUUCGUGUGCAUUUCUUCAUUGUCUAUCUAUGUAGACCACGACUCCACGGAGGCAGGACGGAUGUCGCCCCAGCUGCCCUCCAGCUGACCAGGUAACUGACGUGGUGGAGGCUGAGGAACGCGGCCACUGGCUCCUGGUGAACUCCCUGACUAUGCUUAAUCUCACCGCCUGACUGUUCCAGAUUUAGCCUUUGUCUGACCAAAGGGCUCUCAGGGGCCACACUGGCACGAGAGCCGCCCUGGUGGCCUAACCGACCUGCGGCUGCCCCACGGCCCAAGGAUCCGCUGACUGACGCUGACUGGAAGCCCAGUUAAUGCAGGUUCAAUGAAGGAACCCAACAACCGCCAACAACCGCCAACAACUGCCAGGGACCCAAC
rnacentral:antisense_RNA from 1 species